UGGUGAACGACCUCACGUUUUCUUUCCUGGUAUUCUGGCUCUGCCUGCCAGUGGGUCUGCUGUUGGUCUUGUUGAUCAUCUGGCUACGCUUCUUACUUAGCCAAGAAUAACCCUGCGAAGUAAUCCUUAUUGUACGAUUGAGGAAACCGAGGCUCGGGGAGAGAAGCCAUGUGCCCACGUCACACACCUGUGAAGUACUUAAGAGUGCCGCUUACCUGGUGUCAGUCACAUCCUGGCUCUGCCUCCUACCAGCUCUGUGACUUUGGGCAAGUCCUCUCUGAGCCUUGGGUUUCUCAUCUACAGGAUGGAGAUAAUACUGGUUCCUACCCCUUGGGGGCUGUGGAGAGAUACAUGUGAAAGGCAGGGCACCCAGCAUGUGUACACACAUGGCACCUACUAGAUGCUUAUAGGCUGACGAAUAAUCCAGUCCGUGUUGGUUUUGUCAAGGUAAGAGGAAGGGUAGGCAUGGCUUCAGAUGGCUUCUCUGGAAGCGAGGAGACGCCUCACCUAAGGUCUAAGGCACUCCUCUCCAGCAAUUCAUUCUCCUUGAAGGCCUCGCUCUAAAGCCAUCCACAGCCUGCCCCGCCCUGCCCUUUUCUCAGACUUUCUCCCACAUUCCAUGUGGCCCUGUGCAAUAAGGCAUUGGUUAUUUGCCAGGACCAGAAACUGUCCUUAAAGUGAGAUGAGCAGUCCUCCCUCAGUAGCCUAGCCCAGUCUUCUUGGAGCUCUUAGUAUUAUCUCACCGGUACUGUCCUGGUGCCGGGGUUGGGGCCUGCCAGGGUUCGGGGGAGCUGGUUCUCAGGACACCCUGACCUGUGGUUUUCUAGUCUGCUGUGGACCUUAUUGGAAUCAAUUUGGCCAGGAAUCCAGUGUGAAAAGCAGAUAGGACUAGCCCUGAUCCUCCCUACCUACCCUGCCUGGCCUGGCUCAGCAGGGCAGUUCCAGGGCCCAGGAGGCAGCUGGUUUGAGCAGGGAAGACCAUGUGGCCCAGGAGGAUGUGCUUUCUUAGGUAGACACGGGAGCAAGGGGAGGAGAAGGGAGCUGCCUGGCAAGCUUGGCACUCAGGCAAGAGGUCGUGGGCAGCUGAGCCCUGGGGGCAACACUAAUCCUGGACAACACUAACCCAUGACAUGAGGAGAGAGGAUGCAGCCACAAGUGCCCUUCAAAGAGAAGAUACUCUGCUGAGGACAUAUCUUUUGUGAUUGGAAAGGAAUUUGCAGAGAGAAGAAGAGAAACCUCCGGAGAUGGAUUUAGGGCUGAUACAUGCCUUUUGAGGGUCCUGCCCACCUUGUGAUGGUCCUUGGAGUGAAGUGUUAUAAAUUCAAAGCUACCUUUGAAUCCCCUGACUUGAAACAAGUGUACCCAGUGGAAUUGCAGGGAACUGGCACUGGGGGUGCUGAUCGGAGUCCAGCACCACCACUUCCUGCCUGUGAGCCUGGACAUUCUACCUUUCUGAGCCUUCCUCAUCCGUAAACACAAGUAACAUUAGUCAUUGCCUUCAAGAAAUUGUCAACAGGAUCAAAUGAGAACAUGCACAUAAAACACUUAGCACAGAGCAUAUGUGCAAACAACAGUCACGAUCUGUAGUGAUGAGUGGUCCCUUCAAUCACACUGCUUUGUAAAGCAUCAUCACUGCCAACUUUGAUGAAUGCCUGUUGUACGUGUUCUACUUCAGUCAAACCCUCAUUGUAGAAGAGGCUGAAAUAUGCCCAUUUUACAGCUGAGGAAAUGGAGCCCACCUUUUCUGUCUCCUGCUCUUGGUGUGCCAGCCGAGGGCUCUCUUCAGCCUCCAUUACUUCUCUGCCACCAGUGAGACACCUGAAGAAUAUAGUAAGAAGGAGAGUCCCCCCUCAGCCUCUCCUCCUCCUUCACCUUGCCUUCCCCAGAUAAAUCACAUUAGCAGGCUCAUGUAUCUACCUAAUAACACAUGCAGGUUUUCCAGAAAAGUAGGGGGGCGGGUAGUUUUUACUUGUUUUGCAAAAAAAAGGAGAAUUUCUCUGAAACUUGCUUGUGCUGUAUCAUAAACAUCCUGCAAGUUGAAAGCUACAGGUCUCAUGUGGUUGUUUUAACAGCUUCUGACAUGCCACUGGAUGGAUGGGCCAGCUCUUUAUGCAGUGGGCAUGUGCCACACUUCCAUCGCCCAGGCCGCUCAUGUUGGACACACACACACACACACACACACACACACACGUUUUCCAGGUGUUUUAUUGCUUGUGUGUGUUUCCCCACAAAACAGUGCUGCAGUGGAAAUCAUUGCACACAUACACUCAGAUAUUUGUUAAUAAAUGGACUGGUGGGUGAACGGAUGGACGGGCCAAUGGUUGGAUUUGUGUCUCCUCAGUGCCUGCUCUUGGACUACACUCAAUACAGAUUCAGAGGAAAAUGACUCAGAUUUAUGCUUUGACUGGGAGCCCUGGAGCAAAGGCCCAGCCCAGUUUUGCUGGGAGGGGACAUUCCAUA